ensembl:snoRNA Gm23911 small nucleolar RNA SNORA17
CCAUGUACCUGCUCCUAGAGGCUUUGCAGGUAUGACUGCUAUGUCACAUGUAUGUCAUUUAGUGGCAGACAGGAGACAGGCUAUGUAUAGGUCAUAGUGUUCUGUCCUUUGAACAUCUGAAUGGUUAGUAGCUAUGAUGGU